rnacentral:rRNA from 1 species
GACGAACGCUGGCGGCGUGCUUAACACAUGCAAGUCGAACGGAAAGGCCCUGCUUUUGUGGGGUGCUCGAGUGGCGAACGGGUGAGUAACACGUGAGUAACCUGCCCUUGACUUUGGGAUAACUUCAGGAAACUGGGGCUAAUACCGGAUAGGAGCUCCUGCUGCAUGGUGGGGGUUGGAAAGUUUCGGCGGUUGGGGAUGGACUCGCGGCUUAUCAGCUUGUUGGUGGGGUAGUGGCUUACCAAGGCUUUGACGGGUAGCCGGCCUGGGAGGGUGACCGGCGACAUGGGGACUAAGGGACGGACCAGACUCGUACGGGAGGCAGCAGUGGGGAAUAUUGCACAGUGGGCGGAAGUCUGAGGCAGCAACGCCGCGUGCGGGAUGACGGCCUUCGGGUUGUAAACCGCUUUCGCCUGUGACGAAGCGGGAGUGACGGUAAUGGGUAAAGAAGCACCGGCUAACUACGUG